ACAGAGGGUGCGAGCGUUGUUCGGAAUUAUUGGGCGUAAAGGGCGCGUAGGCGGUGCGGUAAGUCUCCUGUGAAAUCUCCGGGCUCAACUCGGAGCGGUCAGGGGAAACUGCCGUGCUUGAGUGUGGGAGAGGUGCGUGGAAUUCCCGGUGUAGCGGUGAAAUGCGUAGAUAUCAGGAGGAACACCGGUGGUGCAGACGGCUCUCUGGACCGUAACUGACGCUGAGACACGAAAGCGUGGGUAGCAAACAGGA
rnacentral:rRNA from 1 species